rnacentral:rRNA from 1 species
GAUGAACGCUGGCGGCGUGUCUAAUACAUGCAAGUCGAGCGAACAGACGAGGAGCUUGCUCCUCUGACGUUAGCGGCGGACGGGUGAGUAACACGUGGAUAACCUACCUAUAAGACUGGGAUAACUUCGGGAAACCGGAGCUAAUACCGGAUAAUAUAUUGAACCGCAUGGUUCAAUAGUGAAAGACGGUUUUGCUGUCAUUUAUAGAUGGAUCCGCGCCGCAUUAGCUAGUUGGUAAGGUAACGGCUUACCAAGGCAACGAUGCGUAGCCGACCUGAGAGGGUGAUCGGCCACACUGGAACUGAGACACGGUCCAGACUCCUACGGGAGGCAGCAGUAGGGAAUCUUCCGCAAUGGGCGAAAGCCUGACGGAGCAACGCCGCGUGAGUGAUGAAGGUCUUCGGAUCGUAAAACUCUGUUAUUAGGGAAGAACAAAUGUGUAAGUAACUAUGCACGUCUUGACGGUACCUAAUCAGAAAGCCACGGCUAACUACGUG